AAUCAAAACUCCAACCAUCUGUAUGAGGGUCUGGAUGGAUAAAGGAUGCCCACUGGAGCUGGAAAUGAUGGAUCAGGUGGAUCCACACUUGAACCAUCUGUAUGAUGAUCUGCACCCACUGGAUCUGUAAAUGGUGGUGCAGGUUUCUGAAUUGAUGUCAGAUGCAAAGCAGAAGCUUAUUUUCUGCCAGUUUGGCUUCAUUGUGGAAAAAUGCUUGAAACUAAAAUGCAGAAUUCUGGCCUGGUGUUUGGUCCCCCUUUCUCUGGCUUGUGUCUCCAUCAUCAUUACACUCUUGUCAGUGUAAUAGUAUCGUCGUCUGCGUACCAGGACUUUGUUACUCAGCUGUCCCUUCUCCUUCAAGCU